CAGAGGUCCCAAGCGUUGUUCGGAUUCACUGGGCGUAAAGGGUGCGUAGGCGGUCGGGUAAGUCUGAUGUGAAAUCUCGGAGCCUAACUCCGAAACUGCAUUGGAUACUAUUCGGCUUGAGGAAUGGAGGGGAGACUGGAAUGCUCGGUGUAGCAGUGAAAUGCGUAGAUAUCGAGCGGAACACCAGUGGCGAAGGCGAGUCUCUGGACAUUUCCUGACGCUGAGGCACGAAAGCCAGGGGAGCAAACGGGAUUAGAUACCCCGGUAGUCCUGGCCCUAAACGGUGCACGUUUGCUGUAAGAGGAAUCGACCCCUUUUGUGGCGAAGCUAACGCGUUAAACGUGCCGCCUGGGAAGUACGGCCGCAAGGUUA
rnacentral:rRNA from 1 species